UACGUAGGGUGCAAGCGUUAAUCGGAAUUACUGGGCGUAAAGCGUGCGCAGGCGGUUAUGCAAGACAGAUGUGAAAUCCCCGGGCUCAACCUGGGAACUGCAUUUGUGACUGCAUGGCUAGAGUGCGGCAGAGGGGGAUGGAAUUCCGCGUGUAGCAGUGAAAUGCGUAGAUAUGCGGAGGAACACCGAUGGCGAAGGCAGGUCUCUGGGCUGACACUGACGCUCAUGCACGAAAGCGCGGGGAGCAAACAGG
rnacentral:rRNA from 1 species